rnacentral:rRNA from 1 species
ACGAACGCUGGCGGCAUGCCUAACACAUGCAAGUCGAACGGUGUCCCCGCCUCGGCGGGGGCAUAGUGGCGCACGGGUGAGUAACGCGUGGGAACCUGCCCCGUGGUACGGAACAACUCCGGGAAACUGGAGCUAAUACCGUAUGUGUCCUGCGGGACAAAGAUUGUAUCGCCAUGGGAUGGGCCCGCGUAGGAUUAGCUAGUUGGCGGGGUAACGGCCCACCAAGGCGUCGAUCCUUAGCUGGUCUGAGAGGAUGAUCAGCCACACUGGGACUGAGACACGGCCCAGACUCCUACGGGAGGCAGCAGUGGGGAAUAUUGGACAAUGGGCGCAAGCCUGAUCCAGCAAUGCCGCGUGAGUGAUGAAGGCCUUCGGGUUGUAAAGCUCUUUCGCACGCGACGAUGAUGACGGUAGCGUGAGAAGAAGCCCCGGCUAACUUCGU